AAACAUUUGAGAAAGCCAGAAAGCAGAGGGGAGGAAGCUCCACCGUCAUGAGAAUGGGAAGCAGAGGCAGCGGCAGCGUGCACAGACAUCCUUUGAAGGUUUGUUAUAAACACAGAAACUGAUGUCUGGGAAAAGGGCCAGUUGGGUUAUCCUUCUUGUUUCAUUGUUUGUCCUGCUUAAAAUUGAGAAUGAACAGAGACUCACUGAUUUCAUCUUCUGAAUUUGAAAAGAAUGACACACAUUGCCCUGCAAUUCAGGUCUGACUUCAGCUGCAGGAAGACAGACCCCCAACCCAGAACAACCCUGCGUGGGGAAUCCUUCGGGAAAAGGCUAAGCAAAAUACAACACUGGAAUUUGGGGAGGGGCUUGGAGAGUUUGUUUUUAAAAGUCUUGAGCAAUAAAUCAUCUAACCACAAGAGUAAGAAAAUUAGUUUUCAACUUUAAUUUCUUUGGUCUUUCAGUUUUAACAGGCACACCUUUAACAUUCAUUUUCGACCCACUGAAGAGGAGAUGAGCUUAUUGGCUGGUGCACCUUGACAGCAUGUAGGUGGAAAACAGGACAUUCAGUCUUUGGUGCA
ensembl:lncRNA LINC01099 long intergenic non-protein coding RNA 1099